GGAGUAUGGACCGUGUCUCAGUUCCAUUGUGACCGUUCAUCCUCUCAGACCGGCUACCGAUCGUCGGCUUGGUAGGCUCUUACCCCACCAACUACCUAAUCGGACGCAGGCUCCUCGCAAAGCGAUAAAUCUUUAGUGUAAAGUUCAUGCGAACUCUACACAACAUCCGGUAUUAGCGCCCCUUUCGGAACGUUGUCCCCGUCUUUGCGGCAGAUUACCUGCGCUUUACUCACCCGUUCGCCACUAAACCCGAAGGUUCCGUUCGACUUGCAUGUGUUAAGCACGCCGCCAGCGU
rnacentral:rRNA from 1 species